GUGUACAGCCAUACCACCCUGAAUGCGUCCAAUCUCGUCUGAUCUCGGAAGCUAAGCAGGGUUGGGCCUGGUUAGUACUUGGAUGGGAAAAGACAGAGUCUUGGGCAACCCAGUCGGGAACCCCUUCUGUCCCUC
rnacentral:rRNA from 1 species